rnacentral:rRNA from 1 species
UACGGAGGAUCCAAGCGUUAUCCGGAUUUAUUGGGUUUAAAGGGUGCGUAGGCGGUUUAUUAAGUCAGUGGUGAAAGCCCCGGGCUCAACCUGGGAACUGCAUUUGAAACUGGCGGGCUUGAGUAUGGCAGAGGGGGGUGGAAUUCCGCGUGUAGCAGUGAAAUGCGUAGAGAUGCGGAGGAACACCGAUGGCGAAGGCAGCCCCCUGGGCCAAUACUGACGCUCAGGCACGAAAGCGUGGGGAGCAAACAGG